GAUUGCUGUUUUCAAUUGAGGACUUGAGUUAAACAUCUUGUGUGAUGACAAGGAGGGCCGGAUUGCGAUAUUUAGUUGAGGUCACUUACCAAGAAGUACAAGUAUGAAAAUGAAAGCUUUGAUCAUCAUGAUGAUGCCCUCCCGUCUUGGGCUUUCCCUAAAGAAAUGACGACAAAACAACAACAAAAAGAAAAACACUUCAAGGUGGCCAUCAUCUUCUUGAUCUCCGCUAUGGCUUUCCCCGGGUUCAGGCCCUGUGAGGACGCCACACACGCGGCAGGGUUGAAGUCUCGAGCUGCCCGUUCGCGGAGGGUCGGCGGCGGCGCGCGUUACCUUGGGGCACGUCUUGGUGCAGUUCAUGAUGGUGUGACAGCGGUAAAGAGAAAACGGAUCCUGGAGCUUGGACAGGCGCUCCUCCGUGAAGUCGUCCCGCGAGUCGAUCAUCCAACGAUGUUCCACGCUGUGCGGCACGGUGCUGUAGCUGGAAAAGCGUUGGCCUCACAGUUCUAAGGACCUGGAUUCGAUCCCGGCCCCGCCUGUGUGGAGUUUGCAUGUUCUCCCCUUGCCUGCCUGGGCUUUCUCCGGGCACUCCGGUUUCCUCCCACAUCCCAAAAACUAAAUUGCCCCUCGGUGUGAUUGUUUCGUGUUGUUUGUCUCUCCGUGCCCUGCGACUGGCUGGCGACCAGUUCAGGGUGUACCCCGCCUCCUCCCUGUUGACAGCUGGGAGAGGCUCCAGCAAACCCCGCCACCCUCGUGAGGAUAAGCAGCAAAAAAAAAUGGAUGGAUGUUUCACUCUCCCCCCAGAAAAAUUUAAAACUUUGUAAUGUUUUUUUUUUAUAUUAAAGUAAUAUUGUACUUACUUCUUGGCAUUUUUUUUUGCAUCAAUUCAAAGGUAAUUGUGCUGCUCCUUCAAGUGUGCGCAUCUUGGCCAUUAGGGGCAGUAGCAUAGAGCCAGAGAGACAAAGAAGUGUUUCACAACUGACUUUAACUUUACUUAAAAAGAUAAAUCAUGCAAUUAUUGUUAUAGGUUGCUGUCUACAAGUUCGGCACCACCAAAUAUUGUCGCUUAAAUAGUUUCACAAAUGCUAUUCAUCAGGCAUUUCCUUGUAUGCGUGUGCAUUAAGGUAGCAAAAUUAUGUGGUUAUUUAACCGGCACAUUGUGUUCAGUUUGAUGAUCGACUUAACUGGGAGUUAAGCAACUUGAAGCCUCAAUUUGGAAAUAUAUUUCCCCGUGUGUCAAACUGCUGCGUGUUGUGAAGUGAGUAGAAUUAAGUUCUCCGCCGCCAACAGUCACUCGUAGCUCAAAUUUUUGCCGGCAAAUCAGGGCAACAAAAAAACUCUUAAUUCGGGUCACCGGUAUCUCGAGGCACACCUGUUUUUAAUAGGCUCGGGAGUGCGUAU